rnacentral:rRNA from 1 species
AACGAACGCUGGCGGAAUGCUUUACACAUGCAAGUCGAACGGGCUUGAGGGGCUUGCUCCUCAAGUUAGUGGCGAACGGGUGAGUAAUGCAUCGGAACGUACCCAGUCGUGGGGGAUAACGUAGCGAAAGUUACGCUAAUACCGCAUACGUCCUACGGGAGAAAGCAGGGGAUCGCAAGACCUUGCGCGAUUGGAGCGGCCGAUGUCUGAUUAGGUAGUUGGUGGGGUAAAGGCUCACCAAGGCGACGAUCAGUAGCGGGUCUGAGAGGAUGAUCCGCCACACUGGGACUGAGACACGGGCCAGACUCCUACGGUAGGCAGCAGUGGGGAAUUUUGGACAAUGGGGGCAACCCUGAUCCAGCCAUUCCGCGUGAGUGAAGAAGGCCUUCGGGUUGUAAAGCUCUUUCGGCAGGAACGAAACGGCUCGCUCUAACAUAGCGGGCUACUGACGGUACCUGAAGAAGAAGCACCGGCUAACUACGUGCCAGCCGCCGCUGUAAUAC